UAUCGGGAGAGAUGGGUCAUAUGGGAUAUUAUGGGUUAUAUGGAUAGUAGUGGUUAUAGGAGAUAGUGGGCUUCUAUGGGUUUUAUAAAGACCAGACCGUGAUAAACCCAAUGCUGAUAGUGGGGGAGCCUGCCACGUGGUGUGUCAGAGACAGGAGUUUAUUAGUCCCCGAUAGCGCCGUGCCCGGGGACGUGCUGGUGCUGACCAAACCUCUGGGCACUCAGGUGGCCGUCACUGCGCAUCAAUGGCUGGACAACGUGAGUUAUGGGGUCUAUGGGGUCUUAUAGGGCCCUAUGGGGUCUAUGGGGUUUUAUGGGACAUUAUGGGACCUUGCAGUGUCGUAUGGGUCAUUAUGGGGCUUCAUGGGGCCUUUCAGGAUCUUACAGGGCCUUAUGGGAUGAUAUGGGUAUUUAUGGGGCCAUAUGGGGUCUUAUGGGACCCUAUGGGGUCUAUGGGGUCUUAUAGGGCCCUAUGGGGUCUAUGGGGUUUUAUGGGACAUUAUGGGACCUUGCAGAGUCUUAUGGGGCUUCAUGGGGCCUUACAGCGCCUUACAGGGCCUUAUGGGAUGUUAUGGGUAGUUAUGGGGCAUUAUGGGGUCUUAUGGGGCCAUAUGGGGUCUUAUGGGACCCUAUGGGGAUUUAUGGGGCAUUAUGGGGCCCUAUGGGAUCUAUGGGCCCCUAUGGGGUCUUAUAGGGCCCUAUGGGGUCUAUGGGGCCAUAUGGGGUCUUAUAGGGCCCUAUGGGGUCUAUGGGGCCAUAUGGGGUCUUGUGGGACCCUAUGGGGAUUUAUGGGGUCUUAUGGGGCAUUAUGGGGCCCUAUGGGGAUUUAUGGGGCCCUGUGGGGUCUUAUAGGGCCCUAUGAGGUCUCACGGAGUGUUAUGGGGCCCUAUGGGGCCUUAAGUGGCCUUAUGGGACAUUAUGGGGUCUUAUGGGGCUUUAUGGGGCAUUAUAUGGCCUUAUGGGGCCUUAAGGAGUCUUAUAGGACAUUAUGGGGUCUAACAGGGCCUUAUGGGGCCUUAUGGGACCUUACAGGGUCUUAUGGGGACAUAUAGGUCCCUAUGGGGCCUUACAGGGCAUUAUGGGGCCCUAUGGGGUCUUAAGGGACCUUAUGGGGCCUUAUGGGGCCUUACAGGNNNNNNNNNNNNNNNNNNNNNNNNNUGAUUUAGGGUCUUUUUGGGGUGAUUUAGGGUCUUUUUGGGGUGAUUUGGGGUCAUUUUGGGGUCCUAUAGGGAGGCCAUGUUCAAUAUGGCCACGCUCAACUGCACUGGUAUGGGGUCAUUUUGGGGUGAUUUAGGGUCUUUUUGGGGUCAUUUGGGUCAUUUUGGGGUGAUUUGGGGUCUUUUUGGGGUCUUUUUGGGUCAUUUUGGGGUCUCUUGGGGUCGUUUUGGGGUGAUUUAGGGUCAUUUUGGGGUGAUUUAGGGUCAUUUUGGGGUCCUAUAGGGAGGCCAUGUUCAAUAUGGCCACGCUCAACCGCACCGGUAUGGGGGGAUUUAGGGGCAUUUUGGGAUGAUUUAGGGUCUUUUUGGGGUCUUUUGGGUCAUUUUGGGGUGAUUUGGGGCCUUUUUGGGGUCUUUUCGGUCAUUUUGGGGUCUCUUGGGGUCCCUUUAGGGUGAUUUGGGGUCUUUUUGGGGUCCUAUAGGGAGGCCAUGUUCAAUAUGGCCACGCUCAACCGCACCGGUAUGGGGGGAUUUUGGGGUGAUUUAGGGUCUUUUUGGGGUCUUAUGGGUCAUUUUGGGGUCAUUUAGGGUCUUUUUGGGGUGGUUUGGGGUCAUUUUGGGGUCCUUUGGGGUCAUUUUGGGGUCUUUUAGGGUCCUACAGGGAGGCCAUGGGUCAUUGAGUCCCAUAUGGGGUUGGGGUUGUGGGUGGGUGGGUGGGGCUUAUAGGAUCAUUCAGCCCAAUAAAGGGUUGCACUGGGGUUGCGGGGUUCUUAUG
ensembl:lncRNA